AAACUGCGAUAAGUAGUGUGAAUUGCAUUUAGUGAAUCAUCGAAUCUUUGAACGCACCCUGCACUCACUGGUAUUCCGGUGAGUACGCCUGUUUCAGUAUCAUUGAAAACACACAAUCAAAACAUAUUCUUUGGUUUGAUUGGCUUUGGGUCUAUCAAAAAGUUUGGCUUGUUUCUUACAAGCCAAGCGGCCUGAAAUAUAUUGUCUGGCUAAUUGCAUCGUUGAUGAUCGCUAUUAGACUUUGGCUUUUUUAAAUGAACUGGAGGUUGAUUAACCAGUUUUAGCUUUAGUCAAAUGGUCAUUGUAAAAAAAAUCUCGAUCUUGGCUAGGUGUUUAUAGCCGAAAAUUUUUUUUUGGCUAUAACCGAAACCAAUAUAAUCACAUUUAGUUAUCGAUCUGAAAUCAGGUGGGACUACCCGCUGAACUUAAGC
rnacentral:misc_RNA from 1 species